rnacentral:rRNA from 1 species
AGCGAACGCUGGCGGCAGGCUUAACACAUGCAAGUCGAACGGUGAAAGCGGAGCUUGCUCCGCUGGAUCAGUGGCGAACGGGUGAGUAACACGUGGGCAACCUGCCCCUCACUCCGGGAUAACUCCGGGAAACCGGGGCUAAUACCGGAUACGACCUCCUUGGGCAUCCUGGGAGGUGGAAAGUUUUUCGGUGAGGGAUGGGCCCGCGGCCUAUCAGCUUGUUGGUGAGGUAGUGGCUCACCAAGGCGACGACGGGUAGCCGGCCUGAGAGGGCGACCGGCCACACUGGGACUGAGACACGGCCCAGACUCCUACGGGAGGCAGCAGUGGGGAAUAUUGCGCAAUGGGCGAAAGCCUGACGCAGCAACGCCGCGUGCGGGAUGAAGGCCUUCGGGUUGUAAACCGCUUUCAGCAGGGAAGAAGCCGCAAGGUGACGGUACCUGCAGAAGAAGCACCGGCUAACUCCGUGCCAGCAGCCGCCGUAAAAC